rnacentral:rRNA from 1 species
UACAGAGGUCCCAAGCGUUGUUCGGAUUCACUGGGCGUAAAGGGUGCGUAGGCGGUCGGGUAAGUCUGACGUGAAAUCUUCAAGCUCAACUUGGAAACUGCGUCGGAUACUAUUCGGCUAGAGGAAUGGAGGGGAGACUGGAAUACUUGGUGUAGCAGUGAAAUGCGUAGAUAUCAAGUGGAACACCAGUUGCGAAGGCGGCUCUCUGGACCAGCACUGACACUGAGGCACGAAAGCGUGGGGAGCAAACGGG